AUAGUUACCUCGCAGAGGAGAUCACAUGAUCAUGAAGGUGGUUUUCCUAGGGUGAAGUCUAACCAUUGUACUGGGGAUGUACUGACGCUUGUAAUUUCCCCAAAUGUGGGAAAUCUGACUGCAUAAUUCGUGGUAGUGGAGGAUUAUGUUGCUACUCCCCAC
rnacentral:snRNA from 1 species